GAUGAACGCUGGCGGCGUGCCUAAUACAUGCAAGUCGAGCGAACGGACGAGAAGCUUGCUUUUCUGAUGUUAGCGGCGGACGGGUGAGUAACACGUGGAUAACCUACCUAUAAGACUGGGAUAACUUCGGGAAACCGGAGCUAAUACCGGAUAAUAUUUUGAACCGCAUGGUUCAAAAGUGAAAGACGGUCUUGCUGUCACUUAUAGAUGGAUCCGCGCUGCAUUAGCUAGUUGGUAAGGUAACGGCUUACCAAGGCAACGAUGCAUAGCCGACCUGAGAGGGUGAUCGGCCACACUGGAACUGAGACACGGUCCAGACUCCUACGGGAGGCAGCAGUAGGGAAUCUUCCGCAAAGGGCGAAAGCCUGACGGAGCAACGCCGCGUGAGUGAUGAAGGUCUUCGGAUCGUAAAACUCUGUUAUUAGGGAAGAACAAAUGUGUAAGUAACUGUGCACAUCUUGACGGUACCUAAUCAGAAAGCCACGGCUAACUACGUG
rnacentral:rRNA from 1 species